GCAGGCUUAACACAUGCAAGUCGAGCGGGCGUAGCAAUACGUCAGCGGCAGACGGGUGAGUAACGCGUGGGAACGUACCUUUUGGUUCGGAACAACACAGGGAAACUUGUGCUAAUACCGGAUAAGCCCUUACGGGGAAAGAUUUAUCGCCGAAAGAUCGGCCCGCGUCUGAUUAGCUAGUUGGUGAGGUAAUGGCUCACCAAGGCGACGAUCAGUAGCUGGUUUGAGAGGAUGAUCAGCCACAUUGGGACUGAGACACGGCCCAAAC
rnacentral:rRNA from 2 species